UCCUAGUCACAUUCUGAAAAAUCAAGAGGAAAAUGUCACUUUGCAAUGUAUGGUGUUUUUUUGUUUCUGUUUUUGUUUUUGUUUUGUUUUGUUUUGUUUUAACAUCCUAUGAGUCCACAAAGUCGUAUUUAAAAGUUUCCAACAGGAAUUGCAAGCAUAAGCUUACAGACUGAUGAAGAGUUUCUGGAUCUUUCCUUAGGAGAAUCUCUGUAAUUUCAAUAGGCAUUAAGCCGUGUCAACAGUUUGAAGUGAGUUUUCAAAGUAAAAACUAAACUCGAGCUCACCUCCACCCUAUCUCACCUCCAGUGCAAAGUGUGUGUGAGGGAGGUUAUGGGGGAGGGGAGGGUGUUUGCCUCAAUGAGAGAGGGAGAGAAGGGGAAAGAGAGAGAGAGGAUUUUCAACUGGAUUAAAUGAUCUGAAUAGUUUACAGGUUUCCAGUGGGGGCUGAGCUGGGGUGGCUGCAGCAGCUGCUCCGAGGAGAGAAUAAAGGAUUUGCUAGAGCUUUGUGACUCUGUAUGUCUGCUGUGGAUUGAUCUGAGAGCCUUUUUUAUCCUCCUUUUUGGGGAAAAGGGGGGAGGCUUUCUUUUCAGAGUCACAUUAUCUUUCAACAAAGGCUGACCCAGGACGAGUGGUAUCUAGGGAAUUGUGCACUUGCUGGAAGAGGUGGGCUGCAGCCUGUUGCAAGGAGUAGGCAGGCAGGACUCAACAGAUGGGUCUAGAGCCCAGGAGGGGGUGCGGGUGGGUGAACUCCGGCCUCCCAGGCUUCUCCCACCCCUUCAGCCCCAAACCUUCUCCCAGGUGGCUUGUACUGAUUAGCAUGUCAGCAUCAUUCAGAUCCCUUCGGAGAAGGGCCGGUAUGUGUAUGGUUCGGGGCCUGUGAGUGUGUGGCUUCCAUGGCUCAGGAAAAGAGAAGGGGUAGUGAAGAUCCCUAUGAAGACAAGCAAGCUUCCAUCUAUAGAGAACUGUAGUGAAGAAGGAAUUUUAAGUAGGUUCCAGUGUUCUAAUUGUAUCUUCCCUUUCUCCUUACACAGAAGAAAGGAAGCUAGAAUGGGUGGCUUGAGAGCCCCACUUUCCUUGUACUUUGUAUGUAGUACCCAGAACUGCCCAUCCAAAGAUGUCUCCUUGGACAAACAAGGAAGGACUGAAGCGUUAAUAGAUCCUCAAGGCCUUCUCUCUCUGCCUCCAUCAUUGCUACUGCUUUAUUAUUCUGCAAAGGUAUAGCCGAUUCAUGACCUGCAUUUUCCUCAAGUUUUGAAGAUAACUAAAACAAAAUGAGGAUGUGUCCUCUGUCAUUCUGGCACCAUGUCCCUUUAUUAAUUACUAUGUGAUCCUGGUGGGGAGGGGAAGUCACUUAACCUUUGUAUGUUUCCCCAUUUGUAAAAUAAUUAUCUGUAUUGCCUCUCAACUUCAAGAUGGUUGUCAGGAAAAUUCUUUGUAGAUCUUAAAAUGUAUAUAUGAACUAUUCUUAUCAAAAAUAAAAGAACUAGAUAUGAAGAAGUUCCUAAGGCAUAUGAACUUAAAUAUAUAUGUAUAUAACUUUUUUCAAUAUAAUAAAUUGGACUCUUUUGUGAUCAUUUGUAUAUUUAUGCUUUUAAAGACUUUACUCUUAGAAAGGGGCACAUGGGCUUCACCAAACUACCAACAGGUCUAGGAUACACAAAAGGUCUUAAUUUGAAUUAGAGGUGAUAAAAGAGAGAGUACUAUGAAGGAGAAAUGAAGAAGGGGAAGAAUGGGGUCUAUUAGGACAGAGUAACAGAGAACCAAAAGGGGCCUUUACUAAGGAAUAAGUUCUUACAAGAAGAGGCUUCCCAUUCUUCAGCACUAGAGGAACAGAAUCUACCUUAUUGUUCAAGGUAGGAAGGAGAGAACAAAAUUCUUGAGCAACUGUAAAUAUUUUUCCGUUUGUGACUUAUCGUGGUAAAGAAAAAAAAAAAAUAAUGGCUUCUCCUAGGAGUAACAGUUUAAAAUUCAGUAGACCAGAGGGUGGGACAGAAAAAUGAAAUUUCCUCCUACUCAACACCAUGACUACUCUUUCUAUACAUUUCAGGGAGCUCUUUCUUUCAUAGGCUCUGGAACACUGCCUAGGAGGGACAUGGUGUCAUUUGGAAAUCUGAAGGCCUCCUAAGGAUUUUAAUUUUUACUUUUUGACACCCCAGUACUCAACUUGGUUUGCUCCUCAGGUAGUUUCAAUCCUCCCAGAAAUGAACGUUCUGUCAUAGUACUGGUCAGGAGAACUAAGUUCAAUGACUAGAAACCAGUUUGGGCUUGUAGCAAAACCUGCCAGAGAGAGCCCCAUGCCAGCCAUGCAUGGGCAACUCUCUUUGAGCCAGUGAGAUGUUCCCUUGGGUAUUCAGCUGAAAGGCCAAUUCCGUGGGUGCCACCCUGAGGUGUGUAGAGUGGCAGGCCCAGGCAGGGCAUUCUGACAUGCUAGAGGGCAUGAAAUUAGAAUCCGGGGCGUGUGUGGAAUCUCUAUCGAACAUGUGUUUUAAUAGCGACACAGAGAUCACUUUAACCCUAGCUGAAACUCAGUUGUGAUGGGGGGGGGGGGGAAGUCUUGCUCUUUCCCCAAAGGUGCCAUCUUAAGUUCUGUUGUUUAUUAGGAAGUAUCUAAUUAUAUAUAAACAAAAAUCUAUGAAUAAAAAAAACAACAACAGGGUAUUUACCCCACACUGGAAGACUUGGGUUGUAGGGAGGGAAGGGAAGCACGGUUAAAAUGACUAUCAGUAAGGAGAUUUUAGAAAACAAAUGGCUACUUGCAAUUGAGGGUAGAAAACAGAUGUGGUAGCCAUUCCUUGAUUUUGAGAAUCACUGAGAAGUUACCUCGGCUACCUGGACCUUUCAAAUGCUAAACCGCAUCUGAAUAGUUCGGAAAAAUAAGGGGCACUUACUACUCAAGUCUGGAAAUAGAGACUGGAAAUUCUCUCCCUCUCCCAGGAGAGUUCUUGAAGUUUCUCGGGGAAACUCCCAAAUACCAAUUAGGAAGUUCCGUUAAUUGAUUUCAAAUUCAUCCGUAUUCGGUUGUUUGCUCUAAAGUUUCAGUUUUCUCCGCAAUACUCAACAUAAUGGAAAAUCCGAGGGGGGAGCGAGAGGGAGAGGUGAAGGGGAGAGAGGGGAAAGGAAAGAGGAGCGAAAGAGAGAGCCAGACACGGACACACCGACACAAAGCCCUCAACUUCUGGGGGGAGAGGUCCGUCUUUUUUUGCAGGACUUCAAUGCUGGGCUAGUCUUAGAAUCGUCAUCGCCCAUGUUGUGGGAUAAUAAGUAAAAGCUAAAAGCCUUCCAUGCAACCACGCAUCACAGCAGAGCUCCAGUGGCCAGCGCGACCGCUAGUUCGGGGUGGGUGGGUCAGAACUUGCGGGCUUCUAAUGACUUGGCAUCUGUAGGAUCUGCCACCUCCUGAAUAGUUUGGAGGCCGCCUACAGGUGCAAUACCCACAUUGCUCAAACAAAGCUGCCCGCCUUCCUGGGCAGCCGAGCCUGUCUCCGGGAGGGGAAGAACUGGGAGGGAAAGCCCAGGAAGCGACGUCUAAGAAUAGUCUAACCCGCUCGCCCUUCCCUGGUCGCCCCCCGGAUCCAGCAGAGGGGGAAGGGACACACUGGGUCUCCUUUACUUGCGUCUCCACCUCCCCGCCACACCCCCUAGCGCUUUAAACUGGGCAGUUCGGGAGGAGGCAUCUGGCGAGCAAGAGAGGCUUCGCAAACUGGUCCCACUGCUGGGGAAGACGGGGCGGAGGAGGAGACAGUAGGAUCAGGACUCCCAUCCCUCAGUCGCAGACGCUCGGGUAACGUUUUCCCCAAAACUCCCGGCAAAGGGGGCUGCCCGGCGUCUCGGGCCCGCCGCCCCGCCUCUAGGUGGCCCCGGACAGCCCGCGCUGUUGCACGCUCAGGUCCGCCGCUAGCUC
rnacentral:lncRNA from 1 species